GGCAGUUAGCUGGGUUGGAAAGAUUUCAUCUCUCCUUCUAUGCAAAGAACAGAAUUGUUACUUAGCUGAGUGAUCAUAUGUAGGAAUCACCAGAGUUGGUUGGCUCUCUCAGUGGGGUUUAAAGUACAGUGUAAAUAGGGUAAACUCUUCAUUGUGGCAUCUAUAAAGCCAUUUACAUUCAGACAGCAAGUGAAGCAAAGCAAAUAAACUCUACUCUGGCUGGGAAUAAUUCUGCCCUGAUGAGGAAUCAGCUGGCUGGAGGAAUUUUGGAAGGGGUGAGGCAUACACUUUCUUCUAUGUUCCUGAAACCACAACAUUGUUAGGACUCAUCUGUUCAUGAGACCAGACCAAUAGAAAAUGAGCACUUCGUGGAUAAAAAAUACAGAUGGAAACUUAGUGGUAUUCCAAAGCUGAGACUGAGACUGAAUGCUAAUAGGGGACACAAUUAUGAAUUGAAAAUAGUGCUGCUCCUCAAAGAGAUAAUUCG
rnacentral:lncRNA from 10 species